UUCGUAAUUGAUGCUUCAAACUGCGAACGUCAUUAACAGACCUUUUGCCCUGCAUACAGUUAUACUGCAACAGUUAGAAAGCUUACAAAAAACCAGGAAACUAUUUCCACUUCAUUCCUAUCGUAUUCGUAAUAUUUUCACAACAUUGGAAAGAGGUCAUGCUCACCUUAGAAGAGGAGGGAAGGGUAGCUGUUUCCUCAAC
rnacentral:lncRNA from 1 species